AUAUAAGAGGAGUGCACUGUGUAUAGGAAGUUAACUAGUAUUGAGACGUUAACUGAGACCAAGGUACCCCCAUAUCUCACCGAAAGUCCACUUCAAAGUGGCUGAGUGAGAUACGGUGGAACCAAGGACUCUAGGUUAACCCUGAAAGAGUUAACAAGUAUUGAGUGUUAACCGAGACCAAGGUACUCCCAUAUCUCACAGAAAGUCCGCUUUAAAGUGGCCGAGUGAGAUACGGUGGAACCAAGGACUCUAGGUUAACCCUGAAAGAGUUAACAAGUAUUGAGUGUUAGCCGAGACCAAGGUACCUCCGUAUCUCACAGAAAGUCCGCCUUAGACUGGUUGUUAAGAGAGGAAAUCCUCCACGCGAAGGUCAGGAAUUGAAGUGACCGAGUGAGAUACGGCAGAACCAAGGACUCGCGGUUAACCCUGAAAUAUUGUGUGUGAUAUUAU